GUGUGCUAAUAGGCGUCCUUUGCUUUGUUUAUUUUACAUUUGACAGCAUCGGCAAUAAUUCCCUUGCCACUCCUCCCUGGGUAUUUUUAAAACGCGGGGUGUCACGUGACCAGUCCCAGCCAGGGUCUCUCCGCAGCUUGAGGGCGUGCGAAGGUAAGAGCCUGGGUACGAGGUUGAUAAUAUCCUAGCCUGCGCGGCCAACCUCGUACCCAGGGCUUCUGCGCUUAUUGCUCUCAGAAGCCCUGGGAUAAUCCAAACCGGAACACCAUAGAACAGUGGUGCCCCCGGAAGCGGAAGUAAACAGUAGCUCCAGCUAAAAACGCUGACUGGGCAUAUUUUUACGCAAGGAGUGAGAAUGGAUUAUUUGUUGCAAUUUAUGAUAUAUUUGGACUUGUAAAGACGUCUUAAACUGCUUCUCGCGUGGCUUUUGGAAUUUAAAGUCAGGAAUGAUCAAUUUAGAGAUACAAUUUUGCGUAAAAUUAGCCCUUUGGCGAGCAAAAGUACAUCUUAUAUCGCGACAACAGCAUACCUUGUCAGCGAUAUACAGCCUGGGCUAUUCAAUAAUUAAAGUAUAAAUAUUUAUAUUCGAGUACAACCUUGGUUAUUUCAAAAUUAACAGACUAGAAAUCUUACUGGUAACAUGGCUGGCUGCCGAUUAUCUUGGAUUUGAGGGUUUUGAACAAGAUAUUGCAAGAUUUAAUUAUAAAUGCACAAGAUAUAUAUACUGUACUGUAAACAUGCAUCUACUUGAAGAAUGUAAAAUGAACAGUGAUGAGGGAUGUAAUAUAAUUCUGUACUUUAAUAUUUGGAAAACCUUUUUGGCAAAUCUUGAGAAUAAUGGCUUUGGGAAUCAAUGUUGAAAAUUAAAAACUGUCAGAUAGCUGCAUGGACAUCAUGGUUAGAAGCAUACAUGUCAUCGGAUGAAACUCCAACUUUUGUUAAUUGCUGAUGUUCUAGUAUUGGAAUGAACAGUGUUAUAAGAACCAAUGGUGCUGAACUAAUUUGGGUUUAUUAUAAAAUAUUGUUUAUCAUUUAGUUCUGGCCAUUAACCUUACCUAUUAAGUUAUACAUUGUGUCUUACUUUUUAUUUUACUCUGGUGUGCCCCCCCCAGGCUCUGGUCAACAGGGGUGCAUGGGGGGGGGGGGUGCAAAAAUGACGUUUAUCCUAAUUCUAACCGACUUAUGUUAAGGAAUUCAGUUGCGUAUCACUAAGUUGACAAUAGUGGAAUAGCCAAUAUUAAAUAUUCUGAAUUUUUAAAUGUUUUGAGAAUCUAAAAAUUUUCCAGAAUGUUUUCUCAGAAUGCUGGAAAUGCCAUUUCAGAGACCCAAAUUUUAAAAAUUUUCCGUGGUAGUAUGCCCCCGGACCACCCUAGAAAUCUCAUGCCUUCGGCGCUCGUUUCGCCAUUGGUUAGCACCCCCCAAAAAAACUUUGCUGGAUCCACCACAUGAUUUUAUAUGUUGGGAUAGAUCAUUGGUGUUCAAUGGAUUAUCUCAUAAUACACACUAGUUUGUUAACCUACUCUGUCCAAUCAUGCUAACACUAUCAUUGGCAAUGGAAUUGAGCUGUGAUGUAGCCAGGAUUUCUAAUUAAGGCCUUCAAGGGGGACUGAAAUCCCCAGGAGGGGCCUGCAUUAGUUUGAAUAAAGUUUGUUAGUAUGUAAAAUAUAUAUUUGGACUCCCAAGCUUUCCAUGUAUAAUAUAGUACAAUGUAGACUUUUUAAAUUCUAGUUAAUAAAGUGCCAUUUUGGGGGGCUAUUUUAAUGUGUUUUGGUGAUUUGAAAUAACCUUGCAGUUAACACAUGUUCAACUCUAAUUAAUUACAAACAAGUUCAGAACAUUUAAAAUAUUUUGCCCCCCCCCCCACACCCCCUCUGGUUACACCACUGGGAUUGACUUGAGCCUUUUAGACCUCUGAAUUUUAGUUGCAACUUAGAACAGUGUUCUGACAUACAAGAAAAUUGUAAGAAAAUUUAAAAUUUGUGCAAAAGCAUUUCUCAAAUAGGUCGUGCCAGAAAAUAUCCACACUCCCCCCACAGAGGAAAUUUCUGCCGUUCAGAGGGGGAGGGGGGGGGGAAUUGUUUCUGAUAAUAGUAAAUGUAUUAGGACAUCCAAAGGGGUAGAAGGGAUUAACUUUCAAUUUCCUCUGUGGGAGUGGUAUGGGUGUUUUCUGGAAUGACCCAAUAUAACUGUGUUUUUUUUUUCAAAUCUAAUCAAACUGUCAAAUUGUCAAUCCUUGUACAUGGGGAGGGGAAAUUAUGGAGAAAGAAAAAUUGUGACCAAUCAGGUUGGGGGUCCACCUGUAGGCCUGGUCAUAGGCAUACAGGGCUGGGCUCAAUUGUUGGGCAGACUAGGCCAGUCGGGCAAUAUUUACUUCACAGUUGGGCAAUAUUGGCUUAUUAUAAAAAUAAAUAUGAGAAAUGAUUCCCUCAAUAUUGGGGGAAAUAUGCUAUAUAAUGGUCGAAAAUUUAGUUCAUUUUGAUUAAUAGUCAUUUAAUAUAUGUGCUAUCAACAGUUUCUUUAUGGUAUUAAGUAACAGAUUACAAUGUUUGUACAUUAGAGAUUUAGAAGCACUAAUAACUCAAUAAUAAAUAGGCACUAACUCAAACUCUGAGCCAGUGCACCCAGCAUCCUCAAAUUGGGAAUAAUUUGUAAAUUUAAAUAUUUGUGUAUAAUUAAUAAUUUAUCCUAUUCCAAUACAAAAUGCAACAAUAUAGAACACACAAUUUAUCAAAUAAAGGUAAAAAGGUAUUAAAAACUUUAUUAUGUAAUAUUUACAUUGAAUAUCGUGGUUGAAGUUGUAGAUUUAUACUUGAAAUUUCAAUUUUCGAACGAGAAAUGUUUCGCUUUAUUAUGUUAAUUAAAUUUUUUACUUUGUUCGCCAUUCUUGCUUAUUUACAAAUACAAAUAGUCCAUUUCUUCUUUUGCUCUUUUCAAAAUAGCCCAGAAUUUGGUUCAAAAAAGUAUUUUCAUGCAAAAACCAGCAUUUAACUUUUGUAUACACUCCUUGUGAUAGCAGCCAUGUUGCCAAAAUAUCACCCGGUUAAUGAAUAACUUCCGGUACUUUCAUUGUAUUCGCAUUGACCAAUCAAAUCACGUUCUGAGUUGGAUUAUCCCAGGGCUUCUGAGAGCAAUAAGCGCAGAAGCCCUGGGUACGAGGUUGCUGCGCGGCAGGCUCAAUGGGUAAAUGAGAGCCUGCAACAAUCUCAAGGAAAUUUGAUCACCGCCCACUAAUUACUAUGAUAAUUUAUUUCCAAUCCAACCAAUCAUAUUCUCUGAAAUUCGUGCGCGUGAUGCAGUGUGAGUAUAACUAAUAUACUUCUAGAAGUUACUAUUGCAAGGAAAGUGCUGGGCAGCAUGUACAAUUUUCUGAAUAAGAGGCUGUUUUUAUGAUCCCGCUUUGCCAGGAUGAGAUAUGAGGCGGGAUGAUUUAGAUGUAUUUAAAUAAGUCACGGUGCACACUUCAGCAAAAAACUUCAUUAUUUCCGAGAGAUAGCAAUAGUUACCUGUAAACUGAAAGGUUGUUCAAGCAGCAAUAAUCUUCAUGAACUACAAGAUCUGCUCUCCAACUAUUGAGUUCUGUUAACCAGCAUUUGAACUUUCGUUUAGCCUAUGGACGUAUUUCAAUACAUCAAAAUCAUCCCACAUUCCAUCAUGUAAACAGCCCCGAAGAUGCAUGUUCAGGAGGUAGGAAAAGUGCAAUUUGAAUACCAAACAUCUUGCACAAAGUCAAAGGCCAGAUAAAUAUUCUAAUUCUACUUUCUUGGCAUGGGCGAUUUUAUAUGGAUUCCUUCAAUGCGUAUAAUUUCUUGCUUUUGUAUGUAUAAUUAUAAUACUGUCAGCACUGGUGAAGCUAGCCGUAGUGACAGGUCGUGAUAUGGUUUUUAAUGAUUUGCAUUGCAGGUCUAUUAGCAUACCAUGACAAGUUGCCAUGGCUAGCUUGCCACUCAGUACUGUACAAUAAUAGUCAUAAUACCAGAUGUAUAAACAAUAAUAAUACUUGAAUGAAUCAUUGGACACAUAGAAUUUAAUAACAAUUUCAUAUAUACAAAUACUAAGUCAGUUUUUGUCACACUGAAACGAGAUUUCUAGCGUUUUGGAGUCACUUGUAAAGUUAUAGUACAAUGUGCUGAUAUUAAAUCCAUUUUUAACCAUGUGAGAAAUCCGCUAAGAAACAAGGUUGUGCAAGUGUGAUAAAGCACGUCAAAGUUGUUAAUUAAUUAUAUUAGUUGUUAGCUAUAUUUAGUUAGAUGCAAUGCUAUGUCUACAACUUUUAUAAUGGGGAUCAGGCGAAAAACUACAAAAAUGGAGUCUUUUUGCUUAAUACUUUACUAUAUUCGAACUUUUGAAAAUGGUAAAAUAAAAUUAUCUUGUUUUAAAUCUUAACUUAGUCGUUAAAUUAUAAUUAGUAAAUUACGAUUAUGUCGAUGAGCUCAAUAAUUGAUGUAUAAUAGUUUAAAAUAUAUUAUCACCUUACUUACUGUAAAUACACUUAUACAGUAUAGUAUCUUCCACUUUCAAUAUAUAUAAUUAAAUUUAUAUGCAUGUUCAACCUCGUACUCAGGCUUUUUCCACUACACGGAAAGAGCCUGGGUACGAGGUUGAUGCAUGCUAAUGUUUUAUUUUAUAUUUGUUAUAUACUUUUAUCCUUAUUCAAUAUAAUAAUUCGAACAGACCAAAUAUAAAAAUGAAAUAAUGUAAUUAUAGGGGCCCAAACAAAAAUAAGCAAAAUGAAUUAUUGUCUCAUUUACUGCAGCUUGCCAGUUAGAACAGGAAGUGAAUACGACCGAUAGUGCCUUUAUGUAAACGUUUGUAAAUUACAUGCACAUGUACCAAUUUGAAUUCAAUUUGAAUAAAUUUUAGUAUUCACAUAACAUAUGCGAUGUCAGUAUUUGCUCCCAGCGGCUACAAAAAGGUCAUACGUUGUACUUCAUCUUAUUAAAUGUCUUCGUUCCAACAACAAUUCUGGAUGAAUAGCAUAGCAUGCAUUAGGUUUUUAGAUUACCAAGAAACAAAAUUUCAUUAAACAUGUUAAAAAGUGGGGGAUAAUUAGAAAUUCGUCCCCCCACUCCAAAAACUGGGGUGACGCAACCCCCUCCCGGCCCAAGCCCUGGCUACGCCUCUGAUUUUGUCUCCCAUCGGCAGAUUGUUCAGUUGUUCUGCAAUUGGGGUAGCCUUGAAGGUGCAAUUAAAACAAUGAUUGGACAAAAAAUAAAACAAAAUUCGGGUAGCAUACCACCGGACCUUCCUAAUUUGAAGUACUUUGGCGUCUCGAGCCACUGGCGGCUUGGCCCCAGCUGGGUUUUUGCUGGCUACCCCUGACCAAAAAUCCUGGCUACGCCUCUGCAAAAUCUACAGUAUUUGGUGACAUUUUUGUUUAAUACGUCAGCUUCAGAUGACACCAUUGAUUUGUAAAGACUAAUAUUGUACACAGUCAGAACUGCAAAACUAUAUAAGAAAGAAAUUGUGAGCAUUAUCAAAAAAUAUAGUAUAUCCUGAAAUGCGGUGGUGAUCGACACAGCCAGGUGAAUACAUGAAUGAAGGCCAAUAGGAUUAUUUCCUAUUGUACUAACAAUGGACAUAUAUCUCAGAGGUAUAUUUUUAAAGUUAAUAUAUGCAGACAACAAUCCACACUGGGUUGCUAUAGGAAUAUAUAAUUUUUAUAAUAUUUA